rnacentral:rRNA from 1 species
AUGAAAUUCUGGUCAAUCAGUCUCCGCCAUCAUGUAACCCACCUGGUCGAGCCCCCACCCUGGCGGUUGCAUGCAGAGGAGGAGAGGUCGAGGAUGGCUCCCAUAGCAUGUCACAGGGUUAGCGAGGAGGAGGUUGUCCUCAAAGAGGUAGUGUCGUGUCUUGGCGGCCACCUCUCCUCAUCUCCUCCUAACAAGUGCAGGCUCGAUGGUUCAUGGCGUCCUCGCCGUCAUGGUUUGGCUACUGCUUGGCCUGACUCUACUUGUGCUGCUACUAUGUGCUACUAUAUGUUGUUGGUUGCCUCCUUAGUUGGUUAUUUGUGA